rnacentral:rRNA from 1 species
GAUGAACGCUGGCGGCGUGCCUAAUACAUGCAAGUCGAGCGAACGGACGAGAAGCUUGCUUCUCUGAUGUUAGCGGCGGACGGGUGAGUAACACGUGGAUAACCUACCUAUAAGACUGGGAUAACUUCGGGAAACCGGAGCUAAUACCGGAUGAUAUUUUGAACCGCAUGGUUCAAAAGUGAAAGACGGUCUUGCUGUCACUUAUAGAUGGAUCCGCGCUGCAUUAGCUAGUUGGUAAGGUAACGGCUUACCAAGGCAACGAUGCAUAGCCGACCUGAGAGGGGGAUCGGCCACACUGGAGCUGAGACCCGGUCCAGGCUCCUACGGGAGGCAGCAGUAGGGAAUCUUCCGCAAUGGGCGAAAGCCUGACGGAGCAACGCCGCGUGAGUGAUGAAGGUCUUCGGAUCGUAAAACUCUGUAUUAGGGAAGAACAUAUGUGUAAGUAACUGUGCACAUCUUGACGGUACCUAAUCAGAAAGCCACGGCUAACUACGUG